rnacentral:rRNA from 1 species
GAUGAACGCUGGCGGCGUGCUUAAUACAUGCAAGUCGAGCGAACAGACGAUGAGCUUGCGGCUCUGUCGUUAGCGGCACGCGGGUGAGUAACACGUGUAUAAUGUACCUAUAUGUCUGGGAUAACUUCGAGAAACCGGAGCUAAUACCGUAUAAUAUCUUGAACCGCAUGGUUCAAUAGUGAGAGACGGUGUUGCGGUCACUUCUAGCUGGAUCUGCGCUGCAUGAGCUAGUUGCUAAGGUCACCGCCUACCAAGGCGACGAUGCGUAGCCGACCUGAGAGGCGGGUAGGCCACACGGGAGCGGGGACGCGGACCAGGCGACUGAGGGAGGCAGCAGUCGGGAAUCGGCCGCAAUGGGCGAGAGCAUGACGGAGUAGCGGCGAGCGAGUUGUGGAGGUGUUGGGAUCGUAAAACCCUGUUAUGAGGGAAGAACAGAUUUGUAAGUAACUGUGCACUGAGUGACGGUACUUAAUCAGAAAGCAACGGCUAACUACGUG